rnacentral:lncRNA from 1 species
GCUUUCCCUACGUUUGGAUGCUUCUCCGUCGAGCUUGCUGCCUAAGCAACAAAAAGAAGAUGCAGUUUCUGAGAGCACAAAGAGGACAAAUCAGACGGGAGACGCUGAACACAGCCCAGCCCUGAACCCUCAGUCAGAUUGUUCAGUGACCGAGGAAUCUUGUAGGCAGGCUGUUACCGACCUUCACUGCAGUCUGAGGAAAACCAUUGUGAUGUACACCACGCUUCAACAAAGCCUCCAACAACCUGCUGAAGAUCACCAGAAGAUGAAAAACAUUCUGUCUGAAGCUUUAUUCGCUGUUAAGUCCGAGUUAAACUCUCUGCCCCGCCCUGCCUCACAGUGUGAGGGGCUCCCGGGGGACAACGGGGCCACAGCAGCUCUGUUGGAGCAGUACGCCGAGCUGCUGCUGAAGUCUGUGGAGAAGAGACUGGAUACGAAGGCUCUGCUGGACUCUGCUGGAGGAAACUCAUGAAGUCAACAGCACUACCUGUGAAUGGCACUAUUGGUAUUUGCACAGAAACUGAAAAAAAAAAAGAUGAAUGUAUGAGAAAGAUGCACUGAUAUGUAUUUAUUGUAAAGCAUUGCAUUGUGUAGAUUUUUGUUUUUAAUGAAUGAAAGAUAUCUAUCUAUAAAAGCAAGAAUGUUCUGUGCGCGUGUUUGUGGAGCCGAUAUCUCCCCGACGCGGUGCCUGUUCGACCUGAAACUUUGUCAACGGCUUCCAAAUACCCCGAGUUUGUGCAUCCGUUAUUUUGGAGUAAUUUGGUCAUUUUUCCAAAUGUGUAUUUUAAUUUUAAUGCUGCUUAACGGCACAUUCAAGUUUGCCCAGAAGUGAAACCUAUUCAGCUUUUGACCUCAGUGUGAGGGAGCAUGUAUCUUAAAACACGUCCCCUCACCACGCACAAGGUAUUUAUAAUAAAAAUAUACUAAAUGAGUAAAAUAAAACA